rnacentral:rRNA from 1 species
AUACGGAGGAUCCGAGCGUUAUCCGGAUUUAUUGGGUUUAAAGGGUGCGCAGGCGGCCAUUUAAGUCAGCGGUUAAAUCGUGGGGCUCAACCCCAUUCUGCCGUUGAUACUGGGUGGCUUGAUUGCGGUCGAGGUUGGCGGAAUUCGUUGUGUAGCGGUGAAAUUCAUAGAUAUGACGAAGAACACCGAUUGCGUAGGCAGCUGACCAGACCGCAAAUGACGCUCAUGCACGAAAGUGCGGGGAUCGAACAGGAUUAGAUACCCUGGUAGUCCGCACAGUAAACGAUGAAUACUUGUUUUCGGCGAUAUAAUGUCGGAGGCAAAGCGAAAGCGAUAAGUAUUCCACCUGGGGAGUACGCCGGCAACGGUGAAACUCAAAUGAAUUGACGGGG